CAUGCAAGUCGAACGGCAGCACGGGAGCAAUCCUGGUGGCGAGUGGCGAACGGGUGAGUAAUACAUCGGAACGUGCCCAGUUGUGGGGGAUAGCCCGGCGAAAGCCGGAUUAAUACCGCAUAAGACCUGAGGGUGAAAGCGGGGAACCGCAAGGCCUCGCGCGAUUGGAGCGGCCGAUGUCAGAUUAGGUAGUUGGUGGGGUAAAGGCCUACCAAGCCGACGAUCUGUAGCUGGUCUGAGAGGACGACCAGCCACACUGGGACUGAGACGCGGCCCAGACUCCUACGGGAGGCAGCAGUGGGGAAUUUUGGACAAUGGGCGCAAGCCUGAUCCAGCCAUGCCGCGUGUGGGAAGAAGGCCUUCGGGUUGUAAACCACUUUUGUCAGGGAAGAAACGGCCUGAUCUAAUACAUUGGGUUAAUGACGGUACCUGAAGAAUAAGCACCGGCUAACUACGUGCCAGCAGCCGCGGUAAUACGUAGGGUGCGAGCGUUAAUCGGAAUUACUGGGCGUAAAGCGUGCGCAGGCGGCUUUGCAAGACAGAUGUGAAAUCCCCGGGCUCAACCUGGGAACUGCAUUUGUGACUGCAAGGCUAGAGUACGGUAGAGGGGGAUGGAAUUCCGCGUGUAGCAGUGAAAUGCGUAGAUAUGCGGAGGAACACCGAUGGCGAAGGCAAUCCCCUGGACCUGUACUGACGCUCAUGCACAAAAGCGUGGGGAGCAAACAGGAUUAGAUACCCUGGUAGUCCACGCCCUAAACGAUGUCAACUGGUUGUUGGACGGCUUGCUGUUCAGUAACGAUGCUAACGCGUGAAGUUGACCGCCUGGGGAGUACGGCCGCAAGGUUGAAACUCAAAGGAAUUGACGGGGACCCGCACAAGCGGUGGAUGAUGUGGUUUAAUUCGAUGCAACGCGAAAAACCUUACCUACCCUUGACAUGUCAGGAAGUGACCAGAGAUGGUUUCGUGCUCGAAAGAGAACCUGAACACAGGUGCUGCAUGGCCGUCGUCAGCUCGUGUCGUGAGAUGUUGGGUUAAGUCCCGCAACGAGCGCAACCCUUAUCAUUAGUUGCUACUGCAAAGGGCACUCUAAUGAGACUGCCGGUGACAAACCGGAGGAAGGUGGGGAUGACGUCAGGUCAUCAUGGCCCUUAUGGGUAGGGCUACACACGUCAUACAAUGGCCGGUACAGAGGGCUGCCAACCCGCGAGGGGGAGCUAAUCUCAGAAAACCGGUCGUAGUCCGGAUCGCAGUCUGCAACUCGACUGCGUGAAGUCGGAAUCGCUAGUAAUCGCGGAUCAGCUUGCCGCGGUGAAUACGUUCCCGGGUCUUGUACACACCGCCCGUCACACCAUGGGAGCGGGUUCUGCCAGAAGUAGUUAGCCUAACCGCAAGGGGGGCGAUUACCACGGCAGGGUUCGUGACUGGGGUGAAGUCGUAACAAGGUA
rnacentral:rRNA from 1 species